UUGCGCAGAGGAAUAGCCUCUGGGUACCUGGUAGUGGUGCACAUGAUCGUAAGAAUCUGGUUACCAGAUUUUGACUUUGGUAAAGGCCCCACACAGUCAACUAUAAUGUGUUCGAAAGGUUCGCCCAACAUGGGGAUUGGUUUUUCACGAGUUACUGUUAACCACCAAAAAUAGAAAGUAAGAUCAUUUUGUUAUUUCUAAUACAGGGAACAAAUGACAUUGUGCUGUUAAAAUGACUGCUUUUGUAUUAUGUUUGUGCAUUUUUGUAGGAUGUGAAAUGUCCUCAGACUGGUGUGAGCAGUGAGAAUGGAGAGCCACAGCAGAUCCUGGAAAUGGUUCAGUGUAAUGGAUGAGACCCUCCAUUACUCCUCCUGCCCUUACUGCCUCAUCUGGACUGAUGGUGCUGUGGUCUCUUCAUCCUCAGUGAGUCCAGAGCCAGCAAGAGUAUCUAGACAAAGACCAAAGGACAUUGAGGAUGUGAUUUUGGUCCACUUGGUUCUGAUGGUUUCUGUUCAUACAAUGGAGCUUCAAAAGCAUCAUCAAAUAAUGUCAUGAAUCUUCUGGAAGUCAGGCUCCAUUUACUGAUAUUGUAUGAACAGAAACUAGCUGGACAAACUUGACCAAAGUCACCUUUUCAGGGAUUGAACAGCGUGAAGGGAUGAUCCCCAUGGAGUAACUUGGAGUAAAGUGUCUUGAUCAAGGACACACUGGUGGAGACGCUGCAGAGAUCGAACCAGAAACCUUCUGCUUACCAGCUCAGUGGAUUAGCCCAUUACAGUACAAAAUCAUGCUCAUGGAGAGCACAUGAAUGUUUGGAGCAGACACAGCAGCAGCCAGAUUGUCCCACACAUCUUCUCCCACUCUUGCUUCAAGGUUGUGGGAUUCAUCAUGGUCUUCCUCAUCCCCUGGAUCAACGAUGUCCCCAUUGAGAAGAGCAGCAAUGAGGGACAUGAUGGACGGCAAAGACAGGCGAAGGUGUUCAUGGUGGUCAGCUGUUUCAUCAAAAUAAAUUAUAUAAUCAUUUCAUUAAUUCAUGCAUUAAUUCAUUGCUUGACUGUAAAUUGAGAUGUUUUCCCCUUGGCUGCAUUUGUCUAGUGUGUGUUCAUGCAUAGCUGUGACAAAUGACAAAACAAAUUGCAUUUUGCUUGUUUUACUAAAACAUAAUUUUCAGUAAAAAAGUAAUAUAAUUAAGUAUUGGUCAGAAUUUAUCAUUAUUAUUCUGUUGGGGUGUGCUAGCAAUGCAAUUCAUUCUGGGGUAAGUAGUGAUACUUACAUUUUUCGAGUAUAAAAUCAACAGUCUUCUCCAAAGAUGAGAUCUUCGAGCAGCUCUCCGACAUCUCCUCUGUGCAGACAUUACUAACACUGAGGAAAACCGCACUAGGUAGGGUUGUGGAGUUACUGGUGCUGUGAGGUGUUAGUGCACCUGUCACUCAUAUCUUUUUAUUGCAGAACUUAUAAUUGCAUACAAGAUCAGGGAAAAUACCAUGGUUGUAUCUUUAACAAUGAACAAUAAUAAUGACAACAACAACAACAAAAACAAAUAUCAUGGGUUUGAAUAUAUAUAUUUGAACAUAUAUUUGAAUAGUUCAUCAUAAUGCAUCAAAAAUUUAUUUAUUUUUAUUUUAUUUAUUUAUUUGUUAUUUAUAAGCCUGAGGGAUGAAACGAGAGUUAAAUUCAACAAGAAAAAAAGGAAAACAUAAAGGAGAUUUAAGCCACUUUUGCUUGUGGAUGAAAAUUUUUGCAUUUAAAAUAAAGAAAUUAACAACAUAUUCAAAAGAUCACAGUUUGGGUUUUCGUAAUAAAAAAUAAUAUCUUUAAAGAUAAAACUGUGCAUCAGAUUAGUAGAGUUAAAAAUAUAACAACUUAAAUUAACCAAAAUUAGAACAUAACAAUAAUUAGAGUAACACCAAUAGAAUAAUAAUAAAAAAAAACAUGAACAACCAAUACCAUAGUUCAAAGCAGAAAAAGAAAAAGGAAAGGGGAAAAAAGAAAAAAAACAGGGUCUUACACAAAUUAAUAAAAAUUACACAUUAAAUACAGUAAAGAAUUUGUAGGCCAUGCAAAUUGCACAUUUUGAGAGCUUUUUUUGUUAAGCGAGAGUGAAAUUGUAAGUAAAUAAUGUUUUACUUUUUAUCUACAAAAAUAGGUUUUUAAUUCAAAAAUUUACAUUUAUGAAUAUAAAAUCUACAUAGAAAGAGAAUUAGGUUUAUAAUAAAGCAAACAUUUGAAUCCGCUUAAAAAUAAAUAAAUAAAUAAAUAAAUAAAAAUAACAGAUUUAGGAUUCAUUAAAAAACCUUGUAAGGAUAGUACUUGAAAUAAAAUAACUAAAAUCUUUCCAGAGCUGAAAAGUAUAGUUGCACGACCAAAACAAAUGAAAAAGGUUUUCAGCAUCAUCUGACAAAAAGGAACAUUGAGUGUCAAAAUCACAUCCAAUUUUUUUCUCAAGAAAAUGACAGAGUAAAUAUUAUGGAGUAAUUUAAUAGUUAUUUCUUUUAUUUUGUUAGUGAGGAAAAAUCUUUGUUGAAUGGACCAUGUAUUUUUCUAAUUUAAAUUAUCAAAAAGGUUGUUCCAAUAUGAGACUGCAGGGGGGGCACAGACACUGUUCUCAAGAAAUAAAGUUCUUAUUUUAUAAUUACUUCCUUUUUUCCCCAUGAAACAUAUUUCACCAAUAGGUGUGUUGACAGGUUCAGGAAAGGGAACUGUUCCUAAAGAUAGAGUGAUAUUUUUGAAAAGAAUGCAUAUGCCAGAUGGAAUAGCAUCCAUAACAGCUGCAAACUCUUUAGGAGUUACAGGUAUAUUAUAUUCUAAAAGAAAUUCUGCAUACCUAAAAAGCAGACCAUCCUUGCUAAAGAGCUGACUAACAUGAAAUAUUCCGUUACUGAACCACUGAUUAUAGAACAAAGAUUUAUUCUUAAAUAAAAUAUUCCUAUUGUUCCAUAUGUAACACCGGUGGGGAGAAAAGUUAUGUUUGUAAAUAAGAGUCCGUGCCAGAAGAACCUUUUGGUGAAAGUUAGAGAGCUUGACAGGGAGUUUUUGGGUAUCAUAGUUACACAUUAAGACAAAUUUUGCAACACCAAAAAUGGUCUCCCCACCAUUCUUUCCAAGGCAUCAGAUUGAUAGAUUUUUUUAUCUAUGUAUGUAUAUAUAUAUAUGUAUAUAUAUAUAUAAUAUAUAUAUAUAUUUUCAAUUUUUGCGUUAUACUUACUUAAACUUACUUCCCCCUAUUUGUUGUAAUUUGUCUUUUUAUCUUUUUCCUUUUUGAUAUUGAUCCUUGAUACAACACUGUAUGUUAUGGUUCUUUGAAUUAAAAAAAAAUAACCCUUCCUCUCUAGCAGUAUUCCUUGUGCCAUUUACCGUUGCCCAUUUAAGAUGAUGUGAAUGAAAAUGAGGCUGUGAGAGAUAAUUUUAGUUUUUAUCAUUAGUUCAAUAAAAUCCCACUUAAGUGUAAAAAAAAAAAAAAAAAGAA